rnacentral:lncRNA from 1 species
UUUGGGGUGGAGAUCCAACCAGCAACAUAACUAAACAAUACACUCAAUUCAAGUAAGAUCUACUUCACACCUACAAAUAAACAUUUAUACGAACAUGUGUUCCUUAUAAUGACUUAAACUUCUCUCUUUUGUGAUCGAAAAAGAGUCUUUUAAACCCUCCACCCUUCCAAUGACAACGUGGGGGCAAGUAUAGCCCAACUUCCCCAUUUGCUCUGCUCUAUCAUUCAAAUAAUUUGGGAGGCUUGGAUUGGAGCCUCAACAACCAAGACAAGCGCAUGUGGCCUCAAAAGUCAAAAAAGAAAAUAAAAGAUUUAUAUCCCAUACCCAGAGUGUCGGUGCCUUUUGUUUUCUAUUGAGACUAAGCAAGAAAAGAUACAACAUGACACAGCUUUUCACAACAAUUACUUUCUUAAAAGUAGUGUUGGUUGAUAUAAUGGAGUCUUGACAUGAUUGUUCAACCAAAGCUCUUGAACUUUCAAUGCAGGCGUGUGUACGUACAUGUGCAUGAGUCCCAAAACAAGAGAGGCAGCAAGCAAAAGCUGAAGAGUAAUGAAAAGCACUUCCGGCCGGGUGUUGCCUGUUGCCUGUUGCCUGUUGCCUGUUGCCUGUUGCAUGAUAAGGAUGGGAAUGUGUCAAAUGAGUUUUCAACUAUUCGGAAAAGGAAUUGUUUGGAAUUUGGAUGCGGACUUGACGACACACCGAG